AACAGGGAUUGCCCUAGUAACGGCGAGUGAAGCGGCAAUAGCUCAAAUUUGAAAUCUGGCCUCGGCCCGAGUUGUAAUUUGCAGAGGAUGUUUCUGGCGCGGUGCCUUCCGAGUUCCCUGGAACGGGACGCCACAGAGGGUGAGAGCCCCGUAUGGUUGGACACUAAGCCUGUGUGAAACUCCUUCGACGAGUCGAGUAGUUUGGGAAUGCUGCUCAAAAUGGGAGGUAAAUCUCUUCUAAAGCUAAAUACCGGCCAGAGACCGAUAGCGCACAAGUAGAGUGAUCGAAAGAUGAAAAGCACCUUGAAAAGGGGGUUAAACAGUACGUGAAAUUGUUGAAAGGGAAGCGCUUGUGACCAGACUUGCGCCGGGCGGCUCAUCCGGGGUUCUCCCCGGUGCACUCCGCCCGGCUCAGGCCAGCAUCGGUUCUCGUUGGGGGAUAAGAACGGCAGGAACGUGGCCCUCCUUCGGGUGGGUGUUAUAGCCUGCCGUACGAUACCCUGACGGGGACCGAGGUUCGCGCUCCGCAAGGAUGCUGGCGUAAUGGUCAUCAGCGACCCGUCUUGAAACACGGACCAAGGAGUCGUCCAUUAGAGCGAGCGUUUGGGUGUCAAACCCGCACGCGUAAUGAAAGUGAAAUUAGGUGAGAG
rnacentral:rRNA from 1 species